GUUUGUGGCUCAGAGGUAGAGUGCUCACCUAGCAUGCAGGAGGCACUGGGUUCGAUCCUCAGCAUCACA
rnacentral:tRNA from 1 species